rnacentral:lncRNA from 1 species
AUGAAGAUGGUAAUCAUUUGGAACACUAAAGAACACUGAUAAUGUGAGAUCUAUUGUUUUUCCCAGAUACAAGAAAUACGUUUGUUAUUAAGACUAACACGCUUUCCUCUUCUGUUAUGCUUAAAAAUGCCUCUUUUUUUCCCCAAGCUUCCACUGGACUUUGACCCAACACCUUUUUUUUUCUUCAACAUCUUCACAUUCCUUUAGGAUCACAGAUCUAAGCACCAUGGCCUGAUCAGCUAUCACUUGGCCUUCAUUAAUAUUCCUCACUGUGGUGGAUGGUUGGUCUCCAGGUAUGCUUGAAUCACUGCACUUAGAGAAUGAGUUCAAACUUAAGUCCUUGUUCUACAUAAACAGAGUGAGGAUGGCCUAUGUAUCUGUAACACCUGUCUCCUGAGUGUACACCCAGCCAGCACCAUCAGCCCCAGCAACUGCCAGUUGGCAAGGUUUAAACAGAAAUUCACAAAUAACAUUAUCACUGUCAUCUCUUUUUAUUUUUUUAUUUUUAUUUUUUGGUCAGUUUGUCUUUCAGUAGUGAUAUAAUAUUCUUCACUGUGGCUUCUUCCAAUGUGAUGCAUACCAGUCUACUUAAGGUCAGCAAAUACUGUUCCCUUUCUCCCAUGAAGUCCUUUUUUUACUCUGACAUUAUCCGGGGAUGUCUUCAUUAUAGGAAUUACACUGCAUUCAAUCACACACAUGGUGAUCUUUUUGUCCCAGCAUCAGAGGCAAUCCCAGCACCUUCACAGCACCAGGAUCUCUCCAAGAGCCUUCCCAGAGAAAAGGGCCAUUCAGACCAUCCUGCUGUUAGUGAGCUACUUUGGGUGCUGGGUGGACCUCAUCAUAUCAUGCUCUUCAACCCUGCUGUGGACAUAUAACACAGUCAUCCUGAGUGUGCAGAACCUUGUGGGCAAUGUCUCUGCCACUGUUGUUCCACUGGUACGAAUCAGCUGAUAAAAGGAUAGCUGACAUUCUCCAAAAUAUGCAAAGUGCUAUAAAGAUUUAACGAGUUAGCAAUGGAAAACAUUUCUAAAAGAACAGUCUUAUCCUAU